rnacentral:misc_RNA from 1 species
GAUGAAUAACGCAGCGAAAUGCGAUAAGUAGUGUGAAUUGCAGAAGUACCGUGAAUCAUCGAAUCUUUGAACGCAAAUUGCACUCUCUGGUAUUCCGGGGAGUAUGCCUGUUUGAGGGUCGCUUAACAAACCAUCGAUUUCGUUGCUUUUUUUUUAAAAAGUGAUGUUUAUCGGAUUUGAGCCGUCUUUUUUUUUUAUAUUUAAGUGGCUUAAAAUUGAUUUUUUUGGUACGAUCGAAGCGUAUUUUUAUGAUCAAUUUUUGGUUAAAGAAACGCACACGUACCGUUAUUUAUAUGAUGUAAUACGUUUGACUAUUGGAUUUAGUUCAUUCGUAUACGAUAUUUUUCAAUAUUUGACCUCAAAUCAGGUAAGAACACCCGCUGAACUUAAGCAUAUCAAUAAGCGGAGGA